CCUAUAAUUGAAACCACUGGCUAAUCUGAACCUCUCAUUAUUUUGAAGAGGAAACUAAAGCCAGAGAGGGUGGACACCUGUGGGCUCAUGGGCAGCUGGGUUUAGAGAUAGCUGAUUUUCAUGUUCUUAGGCUGUCAGUAGAGACCUUCAAUUUAUGCAGUCCAGAUAUCUCAGGAAGAGAGGCAGAGGGGGCUUAGUGUGGAACAGGUUUUGCUGCAGUGAGGGUUGGGGCACUCCUUGGGGAAUAUGGGUGGAUUAGACUUGAGGCAUAUCAUUGAGGGGCCCAGGGAUUCUUAGACACUCUCCUUCCAAUUCAGAGCUCUAAGUGGGAGGGGAGGGAUGUGCUAGUACAUUAAGGAUGUUUUCUCAUUCUGAACAGGCCUCAGAAAAGCACCUAGGAGCCUUUGGUCAAAAUGCAAUACAAAUCUAUCAUUGGUGACUGACUGCAUGGAGCAUGUGCUUACCGCCUGCCACCCCUGCACUUGCUACACAGCUGGCUGGGACACCAAGCUUCUCUACCUCCCCAUGACCUACAUGCCUACCUUCCUGGUGGAUGCCAUGCUCCACUAGGUUCUCCAAGGCUGGCCAAGGCCCUGUGAAGCCAAGACUCAGGACAACAAGUUAACAACUAUCUACACAGAAAAGAACACCUUCAUAGAACGAACAAUCAGACACUGAAGAACAUCUACUAACAUCAACACCAUGAAGGAAAACUUGACCUCACCAAAUGAACUAAAUAAGGGACCAGGGACCAAUCCUGGAGAAACAGAUAUGUGACCUUUCAGACAAAGAAUUCAAAAUACCCGUGUUGAGGAAACUCAAAGAAAUUCAGGAUAACACAGAGAAGAAAUUUAGAAUUCUAUCAGAUAAAUUUAACAAAAAGAUUGAAAUAAUU